GUGUUCUCUUUGGAAGCACAUAUACUAAAACUGGAAUGAUACAGAGAAAAUUAGCAUGGCCCUUGUGCAAAGUUGACAUGCAAAUCUGUGAAGAGUUGUUCUUCUUU
ensembl:snRNA U6 U6 spliceosomal RNA